rnacentral:lncRNA from 1 species
UCCUCGUCACGUCGGAAUCUCUCUCUCUCUCUCUCUCUCUCUCUCUCUCUCUCUCUCUCUACAUCUAUCUAUUACUCGUCCUCUCUCUCUCUCUACACUUUAUUCUAUGCAUCCCUAUUUCCUUUUUAUCAACAGUUAAUAUUCUGUAAUUUGUUGCAGGAGGCUUUGGUUUCUUGUUAGAUGUGAAUCCAUCCAUAAACGAUCUUCUUCCUGAUGUUAGCAAACUGUCCCACGAAAGGAAGGUAUGCGAUUUUGUCGAGUUGGACUUCUCGGCACUCCUUGCCCUAGGUUUUUCCCAUAUCUGUAGUCAUCGAUUCAUUUAUCGAAGUUCCUUAGGAGUUAGGAUCCUUUUAUACAACCAGAGUGAUCAUGAAUUAGCAGUUGUUUUCUACGGGACUCUUAAGGCACAAUUAAUGUCUCAAAAAAUAUGAAUAUUAUUUUUGACAACAAGAUUGUGAACAACUGUUUUCUUCCUUCUUCUUUUUUCCCUACUAGAAGCUUUUGAUUCUCUCCUUUCAUUAUUUGGUUCGUUAAUCGUUUGCAUUUGAUUAGUUUUCGAAGUGCUGAAUCCUGAUUUGUGGAAUGUUUAGAUACUGAUAAUGAGAUCGAAAAAGAGACACAGUGAAGAGACCUCUACUUCCCUAAAACAAACACACUUCAGAGGAGUGAGAAAGAGGCCAUCCAUAGAAGAAAACCAGGAAAUGGCUUGGAAAUCAAAAUUAUGGCUGCACUAUUAGAAAAGGGUCGUUCAUGAAAAGCUUAAAAAAUGGACCAUGCAACUCCCUUUGGCAUUGUCUUCUCUCUCUCAUUGAUACUGUCACUGGGUGGAGCUCCUUUUUGUCCAUUUAUUUGGCUAUAUGUGCUUGGAUGAUGCAUAUGUAUACAUGAAUGUGUAUGUUUUUUGUAUUAAGCUUAAACGCACUCAUUCUAUGGUAUGAUACAUCAUCUUUGCUCA